rnacentral:misc_RNA from 1 species
GAAAUGCGAUAAGUAAUGUGAAUUGCAGAAUUCAGUGAAUCAUCGAAUCUUUGAACGCACCUUGUGCUCCUUGGUAUUCCUUGGAGCAUGCCUGUUUGAGUAUCAUGAAAUCUUCAAAGUAAAUCUUUUGUUAACUCAAUUGGUUUCUACUUUGGUAUUGGAGGUCUUUGCAGCUUCACACCUGCUCCUCUUUGUUCAUUAGCUGGAUUUCAGUGUUAUGCUUGGUUCCACUCGGCGUGAUAAGUUAUCUAUCGCUGAGGACACUGUAAAAGGUGGCCAAGGUAAAUGCAGAUGAACCGCUUCUAAUAGUCCAUUGACUUGGACAAUACUUUUAUGAUCUGAUCUCAAAUCAGGUAGGACUACCCGCUGAACUUAAGC